rnacentral:lncRNA from 1 species
CCAUUCCCCAUUAUUUAUUUAUUUAUUUUAAAAUAGUUCAAGACCUAAAAAAAUACAUCACAGGCCCAAUUAAAAAAAGAAUAUAUAAAUAAAAAAUAUAUGUCUGUAUUGCCAUAGAAAUUGAGAAUGCUUUCUUAAAUGGAUCUCAACGAGUUCGAUCACAAGCAACCAAUCAGGAUAGCUAGUUAGAUUAUAUGGACAUAAAAAGGCUUCAAUCUUCAAGCCAAACAAUUUAUAUAGCUCUGAUACCAUAAUAUUAAAACUUUAUAGGGUCAUAGAACUUAUAUGAAGAAGAAG